GAUGAACGCUAGCUACAGGCUUAACACAUGCAAGUCGAGGGGAAACGAUAUUGGAAGCUUGCUUCUGAUAGGCGUCGACCGGCGUACGGGUGAGUAACGCGUAUCCAACCUGCCCAUCACUUGGGGAUAACCUUGCGAAAGUAAGACUAAUACCCAAUGACGUCUCUAGAAGACAUCUGAAAGAGAUUAAAGAUUUAUCGGUGAUGGAUGGGGAUGCGUCUGAUUAGCUUGUUGGCGGGGUAACGGCCCACCAAGGCGACGAUCAGUAGGGGUUCUGAGAGGAAGGUCCCCCACAUUGGAACUGAGACACGGUCCAAACUCCUACGGGAGGCAGCAGUGAGGAAUAUUGGUCAAUGGACGAGAGUCUGAACCAGCCAAGUAGCGUGCAGGAUGACGGCCCUAUGGGUUGUAAACUGCUUUUAUAAGGGAAUAAAGUGGGAGUCGUGACUCUUUUUGCAUGUACCUUAUGAAUAAGGACCGGCUAAUUCCGUGCCAGCAGCCG
rnacentral:rRNA from 1 species